rnacentral:rRNA from 1 species
AUUGAACGCUGGCGGCAGGCCUAACACAUGCAAGUCGAGCGGAUGAAGGGAGCUUGCUCCUGGAUUCAGCGGCGGACGGGUGAGUAAUGCCUAGGAAUCUGCCUGGUAGUGGGGGAUAACGUCCGGAAACGGGCGCUAAUACCGCAUACGUCCUGAGGGAGAAAGUGGGGGAUCUUCGGACCUCACGCUAUCAGAUGAGCCUAGGUCGGAUUAGCUAGUUGGUGGGGUAAAGGCCUACCAAGGCGACGAUCCGUAACUGGUCUGAGAGGAUGAUCAGCCACACUGGAACUGAGACACGGUCCAGACUCCUACGGGAGGCAGCAGUGGGGAAUAUUGGACAAUGGGCGAAAGCCUGAUCCAGCCAUGCCGAGUGUGUGAAGAAGGUCUUCGGAUUGUAAAGCACUUUAAGUUGGGAGGAAGGGCAGUAAGUUAAUACCUUGCUGUUUUGACGUUACCAACAGAAUAAGCACCGGCUAACUUCGUG